rnacentral:rRNA from 1 species
AUUGAACGCUGGCGGCAUGCUUUACACAUGCAAGUCGAACGGUAACAGGCCUUCGGGUGCUGACGAGUGGCGAACGGGUGAGUAAUGCAUCGGAACGUGCCCAAUCGUGGGGGAUAACGUAGCGAAGUUACGCUAAUACCGCAUAAGCCCUGAGGGGAAAGCAGGGGAUCGCAAGACCUUGCGCGAAUGGAGCGGCCGAUGUCAGAUUAGCUAGUUGGUGGGUAAAGGACCUACCAAGGCGACGAUCUGUAGCGGGUCUGAGAGGAUGAUCCGCCACACUGGGACUGAGACACGGCCCAGACUCCUACGGGAGGCAGCAGUGGGGAAUUUUGGACAAUGGGCGCAAGCCUGAUCCAGCCAUGCCGCGUGCGGGACGAAGGCCUCGGUUGUAA